AUGAAGCGGAGAUCCCGAUUUCUUUGGCUCGGAUAUACUUUCUACUUUUCUCUCCUUUCCCUUUCUCUGUUCAACUGAAAACCGAGAGGAAUUUAGUGGAAUUCAUGGGUGCAUGAACAUGGUUUAGAUGAGAGUAAGUAAAGUUGAUGAUGCUGUUAACGUUGGUUGAUCUCCUAAGCGGGGAAAUGGGAUUUCUUCUCCCUGUUGCGGUAAUCAUUCUUUUUACUUGGAUGAACAAGAAAUUCUUAUCAAUUAGUGGAUUCGUGAAGUCAUAAUCAAUGAUGUAGAUAAAGGAUUUUAGUUGUAAAACAGUGCAAGUACAUUCGAUUGCUGCCACUCAAUUAUAGGAAGAAUGAUAAUAUUUUGUGAAUGUUUAGGGUUUAUGGUUGGUUAGGGGAGUUGGGUUUGUUUCCUAAAUUGAAAUUGCAGGGAAGGAGAUAUUAACUAUGGUACAAAGAAACAACAAGUCUAAAUCUCCUUUACCGCCAGAAAACGAGAACAAGGUGUUUGAGAAAAGGUCUCAAAGGACAGUAAAAAGAGUUCUAAGUUUUCUUUUAAUUCUGAUUGUUUUCUUUCAUAUGCUGACACUCUGUACUUUGCCUUACUACAUAAAAUGCCACAGAUAAGAGCAGUCAAUCUACAAACAAGUUUAAGAUAGAUGGUGGCGCUACGAUUUGUCUGCACUGGGGUAAUCCAAUGGACAUGAUAUCUUAAGAGCUGACAUACCUUCUGAUGGUUCUUUUGUUUAUGUUUAUUUUAAUACUUUGUGCGCUUGUGUAAUCACUAUGGAACUAAGAAUCUUUGAAGGAAACAUUUUCAAAGAAUUAGUCCACAUAAGUCUGGCUUUGAUGUAGUCGUACUAUAUAUUUAACUUUUUGUUGUAUUGUGUAAAUGAAAUGGGUUUGCUAAA